rnacentral:rRNA from 1 species
GAAAGUAAUUAAGGGCGCAUGGCGGAUGCCUUGGCUCUCGGAGGCGAUGAAGGACGUGAUAAGCUGCGAUAAGCUACGGGUAGGUGCAAGUGACCUUUGAUCCGUAGAUUUCCGAAUGGGAUAACCCGGUUGGUUGAAGACCAAUCAUCCUGUGCUUUAUUGCAUAGGAGGCAAACGCAGGGAACUGAAACAUCUUAGUACCUGCAGGAAAAGAAAAUAAUAAUGAUUACGCAAGUAGUGGCGAGCGAACGCGUAUUAGCCCAAACCGGUUAUGUUACGGCAUAUCCGGGGUUGUAGGACCACGCCGUAGGCCUGUGGUAAAUGCGAGAAGAAUGUUUUGGAAAGAACAAUCAUAGAAGGUGAUAAUCCUGUAUUCGUAGCAUUUUCCCCCUUAGUGGUAUCCUGAGUAGCGCGGGACACGUGAAAUCCUGUGUGAAUCUGCCGGGCCCAUCCGGUAAGGCUAAAUACUCCCGAGAGACCGAUAGUGAACCAGUACUGUGAAGGAAAGGUGAAAAGUACUUCGAAUAGAAGAGUGAAAUAGUCCCUGAAACCAUGCGCCUACAAGCGGUCGGAGCUUUGCUUAACCUACGAGUUACUUUUACUGGCCAGGUUAAGGGUUUUAGACCCGCAGCCGAAGCGAAAGCGAGUCUUAACAGGGCGCUUCUCUCUUUUAGGGAGAUCAGUCAGUAGUAGUAGACGCGAAACCAAGUGAUCUACCCUUGGGCAGGUUGAAGGUUAGGUAACACUAACUGGAGGACCGAACCGAUAAGCGUUGAAAAAGGUGCAGCCUUGUUUAUUUACUAAUGUGAGGUAGAGCGACUGAUAAGAUGCGAGGGCUUCGCCGCCUAUCAAGUCUUGAUAAACUCCGAAUGCGCAUUAGUUUAGGACAGGAGUGAGGGCACGGGUGCUAAGGUCCGUGUCCGAGAGGAGAAGAAUCCAGACCACCGGCUAAGGUCCCCAAAUAUAUGCUAAGUUGUUUUAACGCAGUCCUACUCCGGCGACAGCUAGGAUGUUGGCUUGGAAGCAGCCAUUCAUUUAAAGAGUGCGUAACAGCUCACUAGUCGAGGAGUUCGGCAUGGAUAAUACUCGGGCAUAAGCAUAUUACCGAAGCCUUGGGAUGUUUAUACAUCGGUAGGGGAGCAUUCCAUUCUGCGUUGAAGAUGGGGCGUGAGCCCUGUUGGAGCGUAUGGAAACGCAAAUGUAGGUAUAAGUAACGAUAAAGCAGGUGAGAAACCUGCUCGCCGUAAGACUAAGGUUUCCUGAUCAACGCUAAUCGGAUCAGGGUUAGUCGGGUCCUAAGGAGACGCCUAGAGGCUCAUCCGAUGGUUUAACGGGUUAAUAUUCCCGUACUGCCUUAUAGAGUGAUGUGGUGACGAAGUAGUGACAGUGUCGCGGUCUGACGGAAUAGGCCGUUGAAGGGUGUAGAUAUUGAGGAGUAUAGGCAAAUCCGUAUUCCGAGUCGAACCUGAUAGUAUGGAGCGUCUCCGGACAAUCCAAUAGUACACGUAAUCCGACUUCCAAGAAAACCCGCUAAACUUUAAUCUAUAAGGUACCCGUACCGUAAACGGACACACGUAGUCGGGAAGAGUAUUCUCAGGCGCUUGAGUGAUUCACGGUUAAGGAACUAGGCAAAUUGACCCUGUAACUUCGGGAUAAAGGGUCCCUCGCUCCUGUGCAAAUUCGAAAGAAGAAGUAUACAGCCUGACACCUGCCCGGUGCUGGAAGGUUAAGAGGAGAGCUCAUCGCAAGAGAAGGUUUGAAUUGAAGCCCCAGUAAACGGCGGCCGUAACUAUAACGGUCCUAAGGUAGCGAAAUUCCUUGUCGGGUAAGUUCCGACCUGCACGAAUG